rnacentral:lncRNA from 1 species
GUUGUCAUUAAGUUUAUAAGAGACUUAGACACUAAUAAUAAUAAAUGGGCUUAAGCAUUUUGGGCCGGUGGUUGGGUCCAACGAGUUAUUGUUGCUAGUGGGCUGGGUCGUUACAUUUGGUAUCAGAACCGGUUCACCAGCUGACAUGUGUGACGAGUCUCGGCUGAGCCAAGGUCUGGAUGACGGGCUAGCGAGACGAGUCUCACAUCGCCUGGUGAUCUUGGGCUGUGUGUGUGAUUGGACUGACGAGGACGUCAGGGCCUUAACGGGGGGAGUCUGUGACACCCCAAUAGUCCCACAUCGGAUGACGAGGACGUCAGGGCCUUAACGGGGGGAGUCUGUGACACCCCAAUAGUCCCACAUCGGAUGGUAAAGGGGUUGUCAUUGGGUUUAUAAGAGACUUAGUAGACACUAGUAAUAAUAACUGGGCUUAAGCAUUUUGGGCCGGUGGGUGGGCCAAACGAGCUGAGAUCAAGUGUAGAAUUAAUGUAUCCUACACUGGAAACUUAGAAAAAGAUUCACAUUGCAAAUGAAGAGAUAGUGAAGCAACAUAUAUGCAACGACCCGACCCGCUAACAACAAUAACUCGUUGGGCCCAAACCACCGACCCAAAAUGCUUAAGCCCAGUUAUUAUUACUAGCGUGUAGGCCUCAUAUAAACUGAUCAGAAUCAGUAUCCCAUCCGAUGUGGGACUAUUGGGGGCGUUACAAACUCUCCCUGUUUAGAGUUUAGACCCUAACGUUCUCGUCAGGUCCAAACCAGAUCACAGACAGACCAGGACCAGAAUGACCAGGCGAUGUGAGAUUCUAGAGGUGGCUCCUACGGGUUCAAGUUGUGGCUCCCACCAAAUCUGUUGGUGUAGCACUUUGUUCCGCAUAGCACUUAGCUCUCACACUUCCGGCUGGUAUUCGGCUCUGAUACCAAUUGCAACGACCCGACCCGCUAGCAACAAUAACUCGUUGGGCUCAAACCACCGACCCAAAAUGUUUAAACCCGGUUAUUAUUACUAGCGUGUAGGCCUCAUAUAAACUUAUCAGAAUCAGUAUCCCACCCGAUGUGGGACUAUUGGGGGCGUUACAAUAUAUGCUUUUAGUAAUUUGCAAAUAAAGAGUUAGAUCUAGCAACUUUUUUUCAUAGUUCAUAUAUACAUAUAUAUAUACACACACAUAUAUGCUUUUAGUAAUUUGCAAAUAAAGAGUUAGAUCUAAC